rnacentral:lncRNA from 1 species
CUCUCGGGUUUACCUGCUUCCUGUUAACAGAUUGUUGGCUCCGAGUGCAUCUGCCUGCACGCUGAGGCCGAGGCUGAGAAGGAGGUCCCUGUGUAUCCACUUGACUGAUAGAGAACUUAAUCUACACAUGUAUGUUUAUUGUGUUAUUUGGAUUUACCAAAGCAAGACACACACACACAAACACACACAGAUACACACAGCCACAAAAUAGUGUCAGAAAUAUAGGGUUGUCUCAGUAAGUUCAGGUUCUAGAAAUCGUAUGAUUUUCAAAAAUUACAGAUAUGCCUUGGGCUUUAAAUAAAUAUUUGCUCUUUUAACAAACCACGAAAGCUUGUCCUUCUGGACAGCCUUCAUAACCAGCAACCUUUCUCCCUCACAAACAAUGGAUUCUUUCAUGCCCUGCACUUUGACACACAUUAAGAAAACUACAUGGAAAAUCAGCAGCUCAAAAAUUGUGAAGCCAUUAUUUAUAAGCCUCAUAAGUGAGGUUUUUAAUUCUUAACGUACCUCUAAAUAUGUUUAAACUAAGGAAUUCCGUUCCCUAUGCAGGUAGAAUAGUUGGUGGAUCAUGCCCUUGGUGGUUCUGAACGCAGAAUGCUAGUGUGCUGUUUAAUUUAGUUCGGGGUAGUUGUAAAGUGGUGUAGGUACUGGAAACAGCUCACAGGUCCUUCCAACGAUCAGGCAUGCCACGCUAGCCCAGAGCACAACACCCUCAUUGUGCUCCCUGGCUUGGAAUCCAAGGAAAGAAUGGAAGUGAAUGGCUGCAUUGAGUUCAAGCACAGCUAUAGUAUGUGUCUGUAAAACUUCUUUUAUUGCACAAUUUUUCUCACAAGCAGAUAGGUUUCAGAGAUAGAGAGGGGAACCCAAAACACGACACUCCUCCUACAAAUGUACUAAUAUUUGCAGUGGGUGUUUGCUGUCCAUCACUACGUGACAGUAGCACAGACUUUGAAUUGCAGUUGGAAUUACCCCUUACCAAGUAUUUCUUUGAUUUAUAGUCUCUUAGGAGCAGAGCUGUUCCUAUGGAUUGAAAUUAGUCAGUCACAUCAAAAUCCCUGGUAAGAAAGUGACCAAAAAAUGAUUAAAUUCUGUUUCAGCAACAUUUCUGCUUUAUGUAAAUCAGUUCUAUUGUUGGUCUACCAGAAACGUCACAUCAUUUACAAUGCUCCUGAAAACAUUUAAGGGAAAACAUCAUGUUGAAAACGUGAAAAAAAAAAUUCUCUGUGCUAAAGAUGGAAUCUACCAUGAAACGUAAAAUAAAUAGUGUUUGAGAGCUACUUCUAAGAAGUAUAGUUUUGUCAUCCUUUUCCCCAAAAUGUGGAUGGCAUAGGAGUCACCUUUUAAUUUUAGGUAUAAUAACAUAAUUUUCAUUGCUACAGAGCAGCACACAUCACCUGUUUCACAAAUACAGCAAUGCGAAUAUGCCCUCAGGUAAGGGAGUUAUAAAGCAUAGGGAGAAUAUUUUCAAAACUUCUAUUCUAAAUGUCAUCGAUAUCCAAGAUAGAAAAAUAUUCCAAAAACUCAAGAUAUAAGCAAUCUCAGUCCAGAAAGUUACCUCCAAACAUUUGAUAAUCAGAACUCUAAAUAGGAAUAUGUCUAUUUGUGCAUGUGAGACAUCGUACAGGGUAAAAUAGUAAAGUGACAGCACUGCACUUCACUUACAUCUACCUUUCAAAGGAAAGGUGGAGAAACAGACUUAGUUUUGAGUCAGAUUUUGUAAGUAAAAAUAUCAGCCAAGAAAGUGAUUCUGCUAUAGCAGAAUGAAAGGUGAAGAGAAGUCUCUCUUUGAUUUAAUUCCUUUCAGAGCUUUGCAUGGCAAAAGGAAUUUUUAGAAUUAAUACAGUGAAAAGUUCUGCAGCAAGAAAAUGAUUUCAUGUUAGUUUUUCUUGGGGGAGCUUUUAGAAGAUCCAGGUAUGGAAAUACCUAAGGCUGUGUGCCCUGCUGCCUUUGUGGUGGCACUGUGUGUGACGGAAAUCUUAGCCCACGGGAAGAGUGACACACAAACUUUACACCUGUGCUUCCCCCCCGCCCCACAUUAAUAAUCUCGUAAGGUGACAUGCUAUGAUAGAUUAGCACUGUAAAUCCACUUCUGCAUGGCACAUCUACUUCGUUUUUAAUGCAACAGUUUUGAGCACCAGACACAGAGAUACAGUCUCUAUCCUUCAAGACAUUUUUCCUUGGUUUUUAUCUAUUUAGGUACUCUUGUUUUCUGCCGCUUCCCAACUCACCUGCUACCAAUAGCAAAUACUUUGUAGUUUCUCAAACUCACUACAGCAAACUUGCAAAGCCACCCCCCUCUGUGUUUCUUCAGAUCCCCCACAGUGGCAGCUACCUGCCAUCAAAAUCAGCUACAAUGUCUCCCCAGACACUUCCCACCUACUUACACUACCUGCUUCGGCUACAUCUGAAUCUGUCUGUAGAUCUGGCUACUGCACUGUAGCACAUUUGUCUCUGCUCAUGGGCUCCCAAGGUCUGACUGACUUCUGAACGUCGUGCUUUGUCCAGUGUCUAGCACUUGGCAUUCAGACAUUCACUGUUUUCCUCGGAUUUCACUGUUUUCCUAUUAGUUACCAUAAAUAUAUAUAGGCUUGAUCUUGAAAUAGAGGUCCUAUUAUCUGUUAUACGGCAUUUGAUCAUAGAAAUUCAAAACAUUUAAAACCAGCAGUGAGGCUUUAAUUUCCCUGGUAUGAAAGUAUAGCUUCAAGAUCAUGGUUUGAUGAAAGCUAUAAAUGUCCUAUAAUAUAUCAGAAUUUUCUGAAAGGAAACUUUACAGCAUAUAAGUUUUAAACAAAAACAGCUUGAAAGCUUUAGUAUCUAGAGGAUAUUGUUUUUCUGUUUAUAGCUAUUAUAGAAUUUUCAGGGGGAAAAUACAUACAGUAAAUAUCCCUGUUAGAAAUAUGGUCUCAAAUCAGGUCAUUUAAAAUUAAUGUUGAAUGGAUGAUGAUUAGUAGUUGAUUAUAAAAAAGUUACUUAUGGAAUUGUUUUUCAUACUAAAACCAGAGGAAAGCAGAGGUCAUGAAUUUGGAAGAGACCAAAAGAUUUAAAUAAAGCCUACAAUAGCAGAAUUUCUUUUGAUUUUCUUAAAUAAACCUGAAAGAUUACUGGUAAUAACUGGUUACACUAUAUUUCCCUAUAAUUUGAGCUCUUGGGAGACAGAGAGAACAGUAUGUUAGUAUCAGUCUUGAUACAGAUAGGCUUUCGGUUAUUGAUACUUCCAACAUUUUUUCUGUACUAGAUGGAAUGAUUAUUAUUUACUAAAGCCUAAAUUUUUAUGGCCUUUUCAUGGAAAAAUUAUCACAAUGUUGUAAUAAAAAAUAAGAGUGUAUGAUUUAAGGAUUAAUAAAUAUAUAAUCCCUCAUCUCUAAUAUAUCCAUCUAAAAAAGCAAACGUUGGAAUUAAUUUGGUAUGAACGUUGGUAUGAAUUUUUGUAUGUAAGAUAGUAAAGAUUAGGAAAUUUUAAAAAUCCAAAUGUUUGGAAUUAGAGAGCAAAAUAUUGAGGAAACUACUUAAAUUCCUAUUUCUAGACAUUUUUACACUAUUUUCUAGCACUGAAGUUUAUCAUCAAAAUAAGAUGUGUAGCAACUCUUAAGUAUUAUCCUGUCCUUUAAAGGUUUAUUUUGCUAUCUUCCAGCUUAUUUUAAUGUAUAGCAUGCUAAUUAAAUAAUAGCUAAAGUUGAAAUUGGGUCUGUUCAUCUUUAAGGCUAAUCGUGUUUAAUCAAUUUUUUAAUAUUGCAUAUAGUAAUUAGAUUUCAGAAAAAACAAGAUUCCAUAGUAUUUCUCCAACAUUUUUAAGAUUUUCUAUUUCAAGUAAAUUAUAAUAGUUUGAAGGCCUAAAUUAUAUAUACCUCUGCUGCCAUUCAAAUGAAAUGAGUGUGCGCUUGUUGCAUUUUAUAAUGGAGUAAUUGUGCUAUAUAAUUAUAUUAGAUAAUUUUUCUAAAGUUCCUCAAACUAAUAAUGUAAUUAUGGAUGCCUAUUAAUUUCUAAAUUAUCUCUGCAAAGAAUUAUAUGGAGAUUUUAAAAAUCUUUUAUUUACAUUGUUUCUGAAAAAGUUAGGUCGUUCACGUUUAUCUACAAGGAUACACUUCUCUAACUUUGUAGUUCUAAAUACUGACAAAUAAGAACCCUCAUUCCAGCUUAGGCUCAGCUAGGAUCAUCUUAUUUGAAUAAAUGACAGAGAACCAAGAGAGAGUUAUGGGUUUUGGCAACAUGAUAUGUCCUUGUGGAAGGACACUUCACCCUAAUCCUCAGAACAGAAUUUUGCUGACUCGGAAUUUUGGCCAAAAAGACAAUGAUUUACUCUUCCCCAUCUGGUAUAUGCAGAUCCAGUAUUAAUUCUGCACCUUUGAAAAGCAUAAUUUGAACAAAAGUCCAGAAAACUUUUACUUUUCCUAACUCUAAUCAAAGGUCACACUUUCAAAGAAAAUUUUCCUACUGCAAAAACAAAACAAACAAACAAAAACCCUAACAGUAUUCUCACUGUAUUUCCUAGUUUCUUUUUCUAUCCAUGUUUGAAUUUAAGGAAAUUUCAUUUUUAAUAACAUUCUUUGAAAAUUUUAGUGGUUUUGGUUUUUGAAUGUGCACUGUUGCCUAUGUUUUAUUUUAUUUUUAUGUAUAACCUAGACACUCUUCUAACUUUCCUUUGAGAUAUUUUCUCAAUAGUUGGUAUAAACUGCAUAUCAAAAAUACCUUCUUAUAAUCAAUCGUAUUCUCUGCUUUAAGUAGGAGAGUUAGUCCCAAUCAACGUAGAUAUAAUCCUCCUUUUUAGAUUCCUUUUCCUGAUAGAUUUUUUUUUUCAGGAAUGGUUGAAUGUGAGGGACGUCAUAAACAAACCUCCCACGUUCCAAACAAUUUAGUAUCCUUUAGAGAUAAAUGUGGUUUUAACGAUCAGCCAUAAGGGAAUCCAAAGGAAAAAAAAAAAAACUUGUUGCAAAAAUAGGCACCUAAACCAAGAGCUGCAACACUUAUUAUAAAAAUCCUUAAGAGUCCAAGCAAGGAAUGGUGUGAAAGAUGGGAAAAUUUUUAAAUGCAUAUGUAAAAAUAUAUGAGACUUUCUAAGGAGUAAUUGGCCGUGUUGGGGAAAAUGUACUAGUAUAAAUGUUCAUUCUGUCCUCCUCUAAAAGGUUGAAGUCCCUGUUCCUAUGUCUAGUCAGCUUCUUUGGAGACAUGUGGUCCUCCACUAAGGUGACUGUUUGUAGAAACAGCAGCCUUGCUGAUGGAAAGAAACAUGCUUAAGCUUUUGACCUGUGUGGGGGAUGAUCUGUGACCUAUGCACGUGUCGGCUACUUCUGCUUCUUGGUUCAUAUUCAUAUCACCUCUUAAUGCUUUAGAAGGUCCCUCUCCACUUUAUGCUAUUAAUCACAAAUAUUUAAAAAAGAAACACUUGGUUGCUUAAAAGUGAGCUGUUUUGUAGAUUAUCAAGAUGCCUUCACACCUAAUGAUUUCAAUUCUCUGGGCUAAAGUCAACAAAGGAAAAGAGAUUAGAUAACAACAAUUUCAACUGUUCUCUGUGCUAACUGUAUCAUCUGGUGAACCAUUUGGUACUUUCUGAAACAAGUCCACUUAAUCUAUCAGAUAUAUAAUUGCAAUACAGUAAAUACUAUAUAUUAUAUCCUCUGGGUAUACAUAAUUUGUAAAAGGUCUUGCCUCUCAAUAUCUAGAUUUGGAGAUAUCUAUAGCAUAACAUUAGUGGUAGUGAAGAUAAAAAUGUAAUAACCACUUGGUUGUUCUGGAACAAUGUGAACAGACUUGUGUUGGCUGAUAUACCUUGAACACCGGCUUGAACCAGUUUAGGUUCAAGGGAUAUCCCAAGAGUAGCAAAAAGCAAGAGGACAGGAAAAGAAAGGUACAGAUUGCUUGGGCAGAAUUAAAGUUACAGGGAAGAUUCAACUUGCUCUAGAACAGCAGCUGGAACAUCAUAGGCACAUAACAAGUCAACCUAUUAAAUAUUCGCUCAGUAUUUGCAGAAUGAAUGAGUGAAUGGCUUACAGUUCUUCCUUCAAUGUUGUGCUAAUCUCAACAUAUUGAUUAGAAGACGUUGCUUGAAUUUAAAGAUAAAAUGGUAAUUUGCAGGGUUUUCUGAUUUUUUGGGGGGAAAUCAUAAAACUGAGGAGAAGGAAAAGGAUGAAAAUUUUAGAAAACACAAACCUUCCUGAUGAGAAGCACUAUAUUUUAACAAUGACAUAAAACAGAAAUAUUACCAGAAGCUUAGCUAAAACUCAAAGGCAGCACAUCUUUUAGUGAAUAAUUCAGACACCAAGAAAAAUUGAUUUCUACUGUUAACUGUCUUAAAGUCUCAGAUUACCAUUACAUUCAUCAAGCAAUGUGAUCAACAAUAAAGAGUAUUUUUUUUCCUUUUUAGAUAAGCAUAAGAGAGAAAAGUUUAAACCUAGAGUUAUAAACUUUAAGAGCUUUAUUUUAAGCCUUUAGAAUACAGUUAAACAGAGAAUUCAAAAUAGAAAAAAGUAUCCUUCCAGGAGAUCUUUUCAAGUUAAAAACCAUAACGAUUGUAAGAACUUCCAUGGCCAAUCAAAAUAUCUGCUCUGAUUAAUCUAAAGAUAAAAAUAAAAACCUGAAUAACAAGAUUUCAAUAAAUUCCAGAAAAAUAUUCAAUAUUUUCCAUCCAAAAGAUAUUGAUAAGAAAAAAAAUCAUAUAGUGUUUACACUGUGCUAGCUACUAUCCCAAGUGCUUUAUAUAUAUUAACAUUUUUUUGUUGUUAUGAUAUGUUGCUAUACAAAGAUAUUAUAUAAUUAUUGACUAUAUAUCCCACACUGUACAUUUCAUACCUGUUUGUUUUGCAACUGGAAGUCUGUACCUCUUAGUUUCCCUCACCUGUUGCUUUCCUUCCCUCAACCCCCUCCCCUCUGGCAAACACCUAUUUGUACUUUGUAUCUAUGACUCUGUUUCAGUUUUGUGAUGUUUGUUCAUUUGUUUUGUUUUUUAGAUUCCACAUAUAAGUGAAAUGAUACAGUAUUUGUCUUUGUCUCUCUGACUUAUUUCACCUAGCAUAAUACCCUCUGGGUCUAUCCAUACCGUCACAAAUUGCAAGAUUUCAUUCUUUUUUUAUGACUAAUAUUCCAUUAUA